UCAGAGGGGGAUAACACUUGGAAACAGGUGCUAAUACCGCAUAACAGUUUAUGCCGCAUGGCAUAAGAGUGAAAGGCGCUUUCGGGUGUCGCUGAUGGAUGGACCCGCGGUGCAUUAGCUAGUUGGUGAGGUAACGGCUCACCAAGGCCACGAUGCAUAGCCGACCUGAGAGGGUGAUCGGCCACACUGGGACUGAGACACGGCCCAGACUCUACGGGAGGCAGCAGUAGGGAAUCUUCGGCAAUGGACGAAAGUCUGACCGAGCAACGCCGCGUGAGUGAAGAAGGUUUUCGGAUCGUAAAACUCUGUUGUUAGAGAAGAACAAGGACGUUAGUAACUGAACGUCCCCUGACGGUAUCUAACCAGAAAGCCACGGCUAACUACGUGCCAGCAGCCGCGGUAAUACGUAGGUGGCAAGCGUUGUCCGGAUUUAUUGGGCGUAAAGCGAGCGCAGGCGGUUUCUUAAGUCUGAUGUGAAAGCCCCCGGCUCAACCGGGGAGGGUCAUUGGAAACUGGGAGACUUGAGUGCAGAAGAGGAGAGUGGAAUUCCAUGUGUAGCGGUGAAAUGCGUAGAUAUAUGGAGGAACACCAGUGGCGAAGGCGGCUCUCUGGUCUGUAACUGACGCUGAGGCUCGAAAGCGUGGGGAGCAAACAGGAUUAGAUACCCUGGUAGUCCACGCCGUAAACGAUGAGUGCUAAGUGUUGGAGGGUUUCCGCCCUUCAGUGCUGCAGCAAACGCAUUAAGCACUCCGCCUGGGGAGUACGACCGCAAGGUUGAAACUCAAAGGAAUUGACGGGGGCCCGACAAGCGGUGGAGCAUGUGUUUAAUUCGAAGCAACGCGAAGAACCUUACCAGGUCUUGACAUCCUUUGACCACUCUAGAGAUAGAGCUUUCCCUUCGGGGACAAAGUGACAGUGGUGCAUGGUUGUCGUCAGCUCGUGUCGUGAGAUGUUGGGUUAAGUCCGCAACGAGCGCAACCCUUAUUGUUAGUUGCCAUCAUUUAGUUGGGCACUCUAGCGAGAUGCCGGUGACAAACCGGAGGAAGGUGGGGAUGACGUCAAAUCAUCAUGCCCCUUAUGACCUGGGCUACACACGUGCUACAAUGGGAAGUACAACGA
rnacentral:rRNA from 1 species